UACAGAGGCCUCGAGCGUUAGGCGGAAUCACUGGGCUUAAAGCGUGUGUAGGCGGACUUCUAAGUGCCUUGUGAAAUCCCACGGCUCACCCGUGGAACUGCUGGGCAUACUGGGAGUCUUGAGCCACCUAGGGGCGAGCGGAACAAAUGGUGGAGCGGUGAAAUGCGUAGAUAUCAUUUGGAACGCCAAUGGUGAAAACAACUCGCUGGGGAAGUGCUGACGCUGAGACACGAAAGCCAGGGGAGCGAACGGG
rnacentral:rRNA from 1 species